UUGGUUCCAAAGAAGCUGUGCAGUUAAAAAAAAGAAGAAAAUAAUGCCACAAGUUGUGAUAUAUUAUAAUUAGAUAAGAUGCGGACGAGAAAAACCAAAAACUCUAGCAAAUUAUAGUCAUUGUGCAGUAGAAGAUACAAAGAGGAAGAUGUGUUAAAUUGCAUUUGUACUACUGGUGAAUUUUAUUGUACUCUUGGGAGGAAAUAUAAUCAAGAAAGUGGAGACAUUUAGUACUCUGUUUGGAUGUUCUCACCGGACUUGCAAGAUCUGAUGCCCAUCGGUUUACUUUUCUCACUGUGGUGCAACACUACAAAGAUACAUAGAAGUGCCGGUCAUCCAUUUUUGCUCGUGUCUUUGAUAG
rnacentral:lncRNA from 1 species